rnacentral:misc_RNA from 1 species
AAGUCGUAACAAGGUUUCCGUAGGUGAACCUGCGGAAGGAUCAUUAACAAAUCCCCCCCCCAGUCCAUCUUCUUUGUUGAGGGUGGGCUAUCUGUUCCGGUACGGAGCGCUGUGGCGCGACGUGCCGUGUUCAUCGUGCUCUGCACAAGUAUGUAAGUCGGACUGAAACAACAUGGUGGGAACUCAACAAACAACUUUUAACAAUGGAUCUCUAGGCUCUU